rnacentral:rRNA from 1 species
GAUGAACGCUGGCGGCGUGCCUAAUACAUGCAAGUCGAGCGAACAGACGAGGAGCUUGCUCCUCUGACGUUAGCGGCGGACGGGUGAGUAAAACGUGGAUAACCUACCUAUAAGACUGGGAUAACUUCGGGAAACCGGAGCUAAUACCGGAUAAUAUAUUGAACCGCAUGGUUCAAUAGUGAAAGACGGUUUUGCUGUCACUUAUAGAUGGAUCCGCGCCGCAUUAGCUAGUUGGUAAGGUAACGGCUUACCAAGGCAACGAUGCGUAGCCGACCUGAGAGGGUGAUCGGCCACACUGGAACUGAGACACGGUCCAGACUCCUACGGGAGGCAGCAGUAGGGAAUCUUCCGCAAUGGGCGAAAGCUUGACGGAGCAACGCCGCGUGAGUGAUGAAGGUCUUCGGAUCGUAAAACUCUGUUAUUAGGGAAGAACAAAUGUGUAAGUAACUAUGCACGUCUUGACGGUACCUAAUCAGAAAGCCACGGCUAACUACGUG